AAACCAUGAUGCGGCCACUGUCUGAAGAGAUCCUUAAACCUCUCAUGAGCUUUAAACAACGUUUUUGAGUCACCUUGUUGGAAAAAAGAUAUUUCCAGUCUCAGUCG